ensembl:lncRNA
GUUUUUGUGUAGCUGCCUGUGAGCAGCCCAGAACGUCACGGUUCAUUUUUGUCUGUAUUGUUUUUGGCAAAAGAAGCAGAACAGAAGCCCAUCCCGCCUCCAGAGCCAGUCCUGCCUAGCAGCAUGGACAUUGGUUCAAUGUCCAUGGCUGUGGCCAAGAUUGGGGCUCUACUGCAAUUACAUCACAGUUCUGAGGUACAAACAGGUGAGGUAAUAAUUGGAACGACGUGUGGUGAGCCCUGCAGUGACAACUCGCUCUCAGAUGUGGUCGUAGGCCUGGGAGUUGUGUAUGUCAAACUGGGAGGUCUGAGUCGUGGAGAGCGGCUGACUAAAUACAACCGUCUGAUUUCUAUAGAGGAAGAAUUGGCCCAGCAGGGAAUACUGGGUAUGGCUUUUUCCUCUCGCCUUUUCAGCCAGUAGAAAGAGGGGGCUAGACAAAGCUAUGGGUAGGAGAGGCAGUAAUGGCUGGGAUGGUGAGAAUACAUUUCUCCCUGGACGUGAAAGGAAACUGUGUGUCAGGAAUCAUGAAGAGGGGGGAAAAGGAGCUGGCGAAAACCCUACCUUGGUUCUGUUAAUUGGCCACCUAAUUACGCCUCCCAAAAAAGGGACAGGGAUAUUGGGCAAUUACUGAAAAGCGAGUUCAUCUUUGUAUAAAAUAAAGAAUUAACUUCUGC